rnacentral:pre_miRNA from 1 species
GGGGGGAGCGCAGAUCUUGGGCUGUGUCCCCUAGUGCCCUGGGCUCCAGGGUCUGCACCACUGGAAUCACGCUCCCCGUGCUGCACAGCCCCCU